UUGUCCCUACGGGACACAGCAGUAGGGAAUCUUCCACAAUGGGCGAAAGCCUGAUGGAGCAACGCCGCGUGGGUGAAGAAGGUCUUCGGAUCGUAAAACCCUGUUGUUAGAGAAGAAAGUGCGUGAGUGUAACUGUUCACGUUUCGACGGUAUCUAACCAGAAAGCCACGGCUAACUACGUGCCAGCAGCCGCGGUAAUACGUAGGUGGCAAGCGUUAUCCGGAUUUAUUGGGCGUAAAGGGAACGCAGGCGGUCUUUCAAGUCUGAUGUGAAAGCCUU
rnacentral:rRNA from 1 species